rnacentral:rRNA from 1 species
GACGAACGCUGGCGGCGUGCUUAACACAUGCAAGUCGAGCGGUAAGGCUCCUUCGGGAGUACACGAGCGGCGAACGGGUGAGUAACACGUGCGUAAUCUGCCCUUCACUUCGGGAUAACCACCGGAAACGGUGGCUAAUACCGAAUACGACCAGUCUUCGCAUGAGGUGCUGGUGGAAAGUCUUUUCGGUGAAGGAUGUGCUCGCGGCCUAUCAGCUUGUUGGUGGGGUAAUGGCCUACCAAGGCUUCGACGGGUAGCCGGCCUGAGAGGGUGACCGGCCACACUGGGACUGAGACACGGCCCAGACUCCUACGGGAGGCAGCAGUGGGGAAUAUUGGACAAUGGGCGAAAGCCUGAUCCAGCAACGCCGCGUGAGGGAUGACGGCCUUCGGGUUGUAAACCUCGUUCAGUACCGACGAAGCGCCCUGCCGGGUGGUGACGGUAGGUACAGAAGAAGGACCGGCCAACUACGUG